GACGAACGCUGGCGGCGUGCUUAACACAUGCAAGUCGAACGGAAAGGCCCUGCUUUUGUGGGGUGCUCGAGUGGCGAACGGGUGUGUAACACGUGAGUAACCUGCCCUUGACUUUGGGAUAACUUCAGGAAACUGGGGCUAAUACCGGAUAGGAGCUCCUGCUGCAUGGUGGGGGUUGGAAAGUUUCGGCGGUUGGGGAUGGACUCGCGGCUUAUCAGCUUGUUGGUGGGGUAGUGGCUUACCAAGGCUUUGACGGGUAGCCGGCCUGAGAGGGUGACCGGCCACAUUGGGACUGAGAUACGGCCCAGACUCCUACGGGAGGCAGCAGUGGGGAAUAUUGCACAAUGGGCGGAAGCCUGAUGCAGCAACGCCGCGUGCGGGAUGACGGCCUUCGGGUUGUAAACCGCUUUCGCCUGUGACGAAGCGUGAGUGACGGCAAUGGGUAAAGAAGCACCGGCUAACUACGUG
rnacentral:rRNA from 1 species